UGUGGGGCUCAUUGCCACUUAAAGGGUUAAGCAAGUGACAUUUUGACAACAAAGACAUCACACAUACAUAAUUUAACCGCUAAUUUAUAUGGCGUCAGCAGUUUGUGCUUGAAAUUAAUCAAGAAUGGCAGUGAUAUGCUGUUGUUUGACCAACAGCCAACAGGUUCAUAUUUAAAAAAAUGGAAAGCAGUGUGAAUAUAUUAAGGUUCAUAUUAUUGUAAUUUAUGCAUAUCCCAUAAUGCUGUACGGGAAUAAAAUGAUUGUGUUGUGACUCGA